rnacentral:rRNA from 1 species
AACAAAAACAUGGCCUUUAGGGAGAAAUUUAAGGUCGGGCCUGCCCACUGAUAUAGUUGAAGGGCCGCGGUAUUUUGACCGUGCAAAGGUAGCAUAAUCAUUAGUCUUUUAAUUGGAGGCUGGAAUGAAUGGUUUGACGAAAUAUUAACUGUCUCUUUAUAAUAAAUAGAAUUUAACUUUUGAGUCAAAAGGCUUAAAUGAAUAUAAAAGACGAGAAGACCCUAUAGAUCUUUAUAUGGUUAUAUAGUUGCUUUAUUUAGUCGUUUUAUUUAUAAUUAUUUAAUCAUAUUAUGUUGGGGUGACAUGAAGAUAAAAAUAACUCUUCAUUAUAAGAACAUUGAUUUAUGAAUAAUUGAUCCGUUAUUAACGAUUAUAAGAUAAAGUUACCUUAGGGAUAACAGCGUAAUUUUUUUUGAGAGUUCUUAUCGACAAAAAAGAUUGCGACCUCGAUGUUGGAUUAAGGAAUAUGAUUAGGUGUAGCAGUUUAAUUAAUAAGUCUGUUCGACUUUUAAAUCCUUACGUCAUCUGAGUUCAGACCCGGAA